AUGCCAGCAGACAGUUCCAGCUCUCGGCAACUGAUGCACAGACAGCAGCUGUUUCUCCCUUCCCCUGCUCCCCUAACUUUCCUUCUUUCAUUUAUUCCCUACACUGCCUCCAUUCAUUCCCUUUGUACUUUUCCCUCACUUCUCUCUACUCUGUCAUUCUGUCCUGCACUUUUUCUCAGGCGGAUAUAAAGGCAGGUCCGGUUGGAGGGAGAGGGCUUGUGUAAUCUCUGGUUGCACAUGAGCACUGGAGAGUUAUUGCUUCAGCUGGAAAGGCACCACAGACUUGUAAAGGACACACUUUGAAAUAAGAAGAGGAAGAAGGAAUACCUCUAAGGAGGAAGAAGGAGUUUGGGGUGCAGGACACAGACCAUGCCGGGCUCUGUGGUGCUCCUGCUGUCCCUGUUGGCUCUGGCCACAGGAAGUGAUGCCAGGAGGAUCAGGAAAAGGGGACUCAAACCAAAAGGACUACGAGUACCCCAACCACCCUCAGUCCACACAGCACCAGAAGAAUGACCGGUGUCCACCGCCUCCCCAGAUGCUGCCAGAGAGAGCCUGUGAGGUGCCGGGCUGCCGCUCAGACUCAGAGUGUGAGCGCCAUAAACGCUGCUGCUACAACGGAUGCAUCUACUCCUGCUUGGAGUCUGUCCAGCCACCACCAGUGUUGGACUGGCUGGUGCAGCCCAAGCCUCGGUGGUUAGGGGGCAAUGGCUGGCUGUUAGACGGGCCUGAAGAGGUUCUGCAGGCUGAGGCCUGCAGCACAACGGAGGAUGGAGACGAGCCUCUUCACUGUCCUACGGGUUACGAGUGCCACAUCAUCAACCAAGGAAACCCUGCAGCAGGCAUCCCAAACCGGGGACAGUGCAUCAAGCAACGUGGCAAUUCAGAUGGACGUGGUCUGAGGCACAAAUACUACAAGGACUACAAGGACUACUUAGGUAAGUGAGGUACCAGCUCGAGCAACGCAGUGCGCUACGAAAAACAUCACCAAAAGCACCUUGGAUGAAAUCAACCUGACCUCAGACUCAGCUACGACCAUAACUCAACUUCAGACAUCAGCCCAAUUCUGUUCAAUCAUCUUUCACCACACCUGAACCAGGAUCAGAUUUGACCGUUUUCCAUGGCCUACAGUUGCUACCUCCUCUUUGCAAAGCCCUGUAUUUCAGCCUGACCUCCACCUUUGGGAGAGAAGUCUGAUAUAUCUACAAUACACAGCCAAAGAAAUAAGUGUUUUUCUUCUGUCUCUCUGCCUGGUGUUUGUUAAUGAAUGGAGUAGAAUGUGUUGGGUGUGCACCAAAGCUGUUCAUCAAAUGUCUCAAAAGGAACCAAUGCCAUUUUUUGUUUGUUUAUACACAACCCUCCCUCUCCCUGCAACUCUUUCUUAUUCUUGAAAUCACACCCUCUAACCUUGAGGCUGGUCAGCAGAAACAAUCUAAACCAUGCGGGUGUAUUACUUAUAUUUCUGUAUUUUUUUCAUAUGGACGGUGCUCAAAUGUCCUGAUCUGUAAUCUGGAACGUUUUAUUGACAAAUAGAACAACUUCCAGCUGCAGUGGUUCUCAUUGUUAAAUUAAAACCAAAUGUUUUUUAAUAUUCAGACUAAUUAAUCAGAAUGUGUCCAAUAACUGUGUGGAUUGUGUCAGUUUGAAAAUAUUUGGAACAGCUGUAGAUAGUAAUGGCCAACAGAUGCUGACUGUUACUUCAAAAUAAGAUACAAUUGUUUCGUCUGUAAUUUGAUACUGAAAGGUAGAUUAGGGGUUAAUUUUGCAAUCAAAACAAAAAUGGAUGUUUUAUAUCUGUGAAUAAUGUCCUGAAAUUAAUUUAAUGCAGUUAGAUUGUUGGAACAUUUUAUAAUUUUAAGUAAUUAUAUAACAUUAUUUAAAAAAUACUUGGCUUUCUACACUAUCUCAUCCCCUGUUGCAGUGCGGGAAAGGGCUUUUGCACAGAGCAGAUGUUUGAAACUGGUCAAAAAUCUUCUAUGUUACUAUUAAACUUUACUUGCAUGAUCAAAUCGCUAUUGUCUUUGUUAUAAAUGCAAGUGAUGCUCACUUAUAUUGCUGCCUAUAAUAAUACCAAUAGGAUAAAAAGCUGGUCACAUAAUAGACUGAGGGGUCAAACUAAAAGCUGUUAACCAUACUCUGUGUGCAGAGCUAAAGUGGAGUCUGAUUGUUAUCUGACUGGUGCUGUCAUGUUGCCUUGAUUAUUCUAAAUAAACCAUAUUGUUGAAAUUA